GCUCAUGAAUAAAAGAUUAUUUUCUAGUAUCUCAUCUAAUGAGACUAUAAUAGAAGCUUUGCUGUUAAACAUAAUAUAUAGAAUUUUAUGGUUUCUUUGAAUAUAUGUUUUUAUCAAUAAUUUGGGAUCAUAAUUUAAUUGGGGUUUUUUUUGGAGUAUUUUUUUCCUUUUAAUUUGUUUAUUUAUUUUGGGCUACACUGGGUCUUUGUCGUUGUACUUGAGCUUUCUCUAAUUGUGGAGAGCAGGGGUUACUCUUUGUUGCAGUGAAGAGUCUUCUCUUUGCAGAGGCUUCUCUUGUGGAACAUGGCUCUAGGGCAUGCGGGCUUCAGUAACUGUGGCACAAGGGCUCAGUAGUUGUGGCUCAUGGGUUCUAGAGUACAGGCUCAGUAGUUGUGGCACACGGGCUUAGUUGCCCUGCAACAUGUGGCAUCUUCCAGGACAAGGGAUUGAAUCAGUGUCCCCUGCUUUGCAAGGUGGAUUCAACCACUGCACCACCAGGGAAGCACUUAACUGAUGAUUUAAUGAAUCAAUUCUUUUAGAAAAUUAUUUCAUUACAGUGUGUGAUUAUAUCUCAAUUAAAAAUUAUUCUAAAUUUCCAUCACUCAUCAAAAGUAUAUUUCACUUCCAUGAACUUCAAUUAUACUUUUAAAUAUAAUUUCAGAUAUGUAGAAAAGUUGCAAGAAAAGUUGCAGGAAUCAUAUGAAGAAUCUCCAGGAUAGUCUUCACUAUAAAAUAUUGCAUAUAUAUGGUAUAUUUCUUUAUUUCUAUUUAUAUAUACACUUUUUUUUCCUAAGACAUUUGAGAGUGAGUUGCAGGCAUGAUGCCCUUCUAACCUUAAUUCUUAACUGGAAAUAGUGUACCGCACCCAGCAACUCUAGAGUAAUCCAGUAUCGGUCUUUUCAGCAACACCCACUCAGGCAGAUAAUAAUCAUUGUUGAUAGCAUCAUUUUCAAAUUGUAGCAUCUUCUGACUUGAACAAUGGUAGAUAAAAAUCUAGCAAUAAGAAUAAUUAAUAUAGCUUUUUCCCUCAACAGAUAUUUACUAAAGAGUAUGUUGGUGCCCUAAUGAGUGAAAGAAUAAAACGUGUCUAUAUUUUGCUCAUUUGAAAAUUGCUGAGCUCAACUAAGAUUUCUCUUCCUCCUUCUCCAUUUCCCCCUAACACAGUGAAGCAUUUUCUUUCAGAGUGAGAAGAGAAUUGAAAAUAAAAUUGCAUUUGCUUAUGGAUGAAGGAGAAUCAAAGGAUCAAAUCAGACAUCUAAAAAGACUAAUUCUGAACUCUCUAAGGAUGUAGUUUUGCUUUCUGCAGUUUGAUUAUUGUGUCAGCUGUUUCUUUUUUGCUGAAGUUGGAGUGAAA
ensembl:lncRNA